rnacentral:rRNA from 1 species
CGCGAGUACUGGUCCGGCUGGGUCUUUCCUUCUGGGGAACCCCAUGGCCUUCACUGGCUGUGGGGGGAACCAGGACUUUUACUGUGAAAAAAUUAGAGUGUUCAAAGCAGGCCUUUGCUCGAAUACAUUAGCAUGGAAUAAUAGAAUAGGACGUGCGGUUCUAUUUUGUUGGUUUCUAGGACCGCCGUAAUGAUUAAUAGGGAUAGUCGGGGGCGUCAGUAUUCAGCUGUCAGAGGUGAAAUUCUUGGAUUUGCUGAAGACUAACUACUGCGAAAGCAUUCGCCAAGGAUGUUUUCAUUAAUCAGGGAACGAAAGUUAGGGGAUCGAAGACGAUCAGAUACCGUCGUAGUCUUAACCAUAAACUAUGCCGACUAGGGAUCGGACGGUGUUUCUAUGAUGACCCGUUCGGCACCUUACGAGAAAUCAAAGUUUUUGGGUUCUGGGGGGAGUAUGGUCGCAAGGCUGAAACUUAAAGAAAUUGACGGAAGAGCACCACAAGGCGUGGAGCCUGCGGCUUAAUUUGACUCAACACGGGGAAACUCACCAGGUCCAGACAAAAUAAGGAUUGACAGAUUGAGAGCUCUUUCUUGAUCUUUUGGAUGGUGGUGCAUGGCCGUUCUUAGUUGGUGGAGUGAUUUGUCUGCUUAAUUGCGAUAACGAACGAGACCUCGGCCCUUAAAUAGCCCGGUCCGCGUCUGCGGGCCGCUGGCUUCUUAGGGGGACUAUCGG